AUUGAACGCUGGCGGCAUGCUUUACACAUGCAAGUCGAACGGCAGCGCGGGCUUCGGCCUGGCGGCGAGUGGCGAACGGGUGAGUAAUGCAUCGGAACGUGCCCAGCAGUGGGGGAUAGCCCGGCGAAAGCCGGAUUAAUACCGCAUACGACCUGAGGGUGAAAGCGGGGGGCCGAAAGGCCUCGCGCUAUUGGAGCGGCCGAUGUCGGAUUAGCUAGUUGGUGGGGUAAAGGCUUACCAAGGCGACGAUCCGUAGCUGGUCUGAGAGGACGACCAGCCACACUGGGACUGAGACACGGCCCAGACUCCUACGGGAGGCAGCAGUGGGGAAUUUUGGACAAUGGGGGCAACCCUGAUCCAGCCAUGCCGCGUGCGGGAAGAAGGCCUUCGGGUUGUAAACCGCUUUUGUUCGGGAAGAAAUCCUCUGGGCUAAUACCCCGGGGGGAUGACGGUACCGGAAGAAUAAGCACCGGCUAACUACGUG
rnacentral:rRNA from 1 species